CCUUCAAACCUUUCACACACUCUGAGAAACUCCUGAUUCUCCCAACUUCGUCAACACAUCUUCAAUUUGGAUUAACAUCACUGUUUGUCAGUGAGGAGUCCUUAGUCUUCUCGUCUCAUUAGCCCUCUAGGUGAAGUGAGGUGUUACUGAAUUACUUGAGUAUUCAGCACAUUGAAAGUCGAACCUUAUUUGAACUUCACAGUAGUUAGCAAUCUUAUCUUCAGGUUUUAGAACCCAAUGCCAAGACAUAUUCCUUCCUCGACAGUGAUGGUUUGUACACAAAAGUUGGUUUGUACACAUAAGUCAGUAUUGUGUUUGACACACCAUCCCAUUCAUUCUACUAGCCCACAAACGCGUGGACUCGUCCAAAAUUACCCCACUCUCGGCCCGUUCACUUGCCCACUCGUCCCACGCGGCCCGUGAGUCUUCAGUGCCUGAUAGGGGGGCCUACUGUUAGGGCCGUUGUUGGCCACAACCCAGAGCCCAACGAUUUUUUUUUGCAUCCCACGACUGGCAUUUUUGGACCGUUGGUUGAUCCAACGGUCCAGAUUCAAAUUUUGUUUUUUUAAAUGUUAUUUUAAAAUACAUUGAAUCCAACGGCUGAGAUCGAAUAUAAUCAAAUCUAACGGUAAAAUAAAAAAAGAUAAAAAAAGAUAUAACAGUCCAAAUUUAAAUCCAACAGCUAAAAUAAUUUUAAAAAAAAUUAUUUAACUCAAAAUUCACCCAAAAACUCUAUAAAUACCUUUGUAUUUGUUCAAACAUCCACACAAAACUCAAUUUUCUCCCACAAUUCUUCCAUUUUUUCUUUCUACCAUUUCUUUCCAUUUCCAAAUUGUUCAACACGAUCCUUGAAUUGGCCAUCCCAAGCAGUAAGACAAUUCUUCCACUCCCAAAGCAUACAAUCGAGACUUCCUAUCAUGUCAGGAAAGCCUAUUUUGUCUGCUUUGAGUAGAAUGUGACGACAUGUCCCGAAUUAUUAUAUAUUUUUCUCCCUAAGUGUGUAAAGUGACGGUAAUGCCCUCGUGAUUUAGUGACGUGGAUGUACAUAUGUAGUUUUAAAUUAUUAUUUCUAUUGUCGUAGUUAAAUUGUACUCGACGCCAUGAGUGUGUUGAUGUGACCUAGGGCUAAAACAAAUUCGUAACGAAGAAGUUACGAACAGACGAGUGUGUAAAUGCGUAGAAAUAUAUUUUUAUGGGUUGGCUAUACCUUACCCACCAAUCACCUUAAUUCCUGAUUUCUUUGGCCUAAUUGAAUUAAAAAUAUCUCUCAUUUUUCCUUCUGCCCAAUCACGCACAUACACACCAUCACUCUCUCUCUUCUCUCGGACCUUCUUCUUCUUUCUUCUCAUUCCGUACACCCGAGCCACCCUUACCUCACAAUCAUCAUCAAAACAUUAUGGAUCGAAUUGGAAAUCACUACCAUCGCAGUCACCUCGAUCCCACGAACUCAUUGAUACCCUUAGGUCGAGGAAUAGACGUCGGGAAUUCGAGAACUCGGGAGCUCUGGCGAGGUGUAUUUUUCUACUUUGUGAUCGUGGUCUUUUUCUAUGGUUUAAAGGCUUGAGGUGGGUCCUAAUCAACUUUAUAGGGACCCUAGAUUAGUUUUGGAGCAGUUUGAACGUUGGAAUAGGUGAGAACAUGGAGUUGCAGGUUGGCCGGUUGAUCCAAGCCUUACUCCGACCACUUUCUGUCGGUUUUAGAACCUCAAGUAGGUAAGAUUGUAUUCUUCUAGUUGAGAGUUUCAAAUCCAUAUAAAAUUCAUGGAAUUUGGUUGAAAAAUGAUGAAGAUAUUAAAGUUUUAAGAUUUUUCCAAAAAUCAGCGACACAAACGGCGCCCGACGGCCAGCGAUGGAUUCCGACAAAGCCAUCGGAGAAGGAGGAGAAUAUUAUGUCUAACUUUGACAGAAUAUACUAACAGCGUCAGGUAACUCUAUUAGUUUUUAAACAAAAUAUUCUACUAUUUAAUGAAAUAUUCCCUAACGCCGUUAGGGAUUCCGUGCCUGCACGUGCCGGCUUAUGAGGGCGCGUGAGACGUCAGGAAAUUAAUCUAAAAAUAUUGGGGUGUUCGAGUUGUUGAGUAGGUCAUGUUGGUAUAUUCAAACACCCUAUUUGAGCAACGUAUGAGAAGUUAUUCCUAGGGUUUGUGUAUGUGCCUUAAAAUUAAUGUAAAAUUAGUUAUUUCGCAUAUAGGUGAGACUUACCCGGAGGACAAACGUGGUCAAACGAGACUUGGGGGCUACGAUCCUACUACUUACCAGUGAGCGGGCUUUUUUUUUCUAUAUAUAUGUAAAUAUGCUUAUGAAUCCCAUAAACUACUUUAAAUGAACGUAUGUUUUAAAUGCCAUGUCGUGUGCAUUAUGUGUUAGUAUUGCAUUAGUAUAGCUAUGCAUAGUAUUGGAUGAGACUGCGCAGACUCAGGUAAGUUUCAGGUGAGUACAUCAUGAUGGUAUUGGGUGCGUGUGUGUGGUUAUACGUUGAUGCAUUUUGAGCUUAUUAUCCUGCACAUUGGUGUUAGUGUUCUCGCCCAUGGCCAGGGCAUAGUUUUUCACAUGAUGUUCACCUCCUGGGCCGCACGCUCACUUUGGAUCCAAGUUUGGUGCACAGCCAUAUUGCACAGACCACAAUAGGUGGUUCCGACUCGUAGGUGACCUGCAAUUAUUUGCACAGCCUUCACGUGAUCGUAGCACUUAAGCGUACUUAUCUACACCCAGCCCUGUUGUACAGACCACAAUAGGUGGUUCCGACUUAUGUGCAUGCAUACUUGAUGAGCUAUAGAUUCAAUUGUACAGGUUACAUUAGGUGACUCCGGUUGGCAUACUAUUUUAGGUUGAUUCGUAUCACCUGGCUUACACAUUUUAUGGUUGAACAUCUUGACAUGGCAUACCUCUGUUUUCACUGCUCUAAGCAUUAUCCUUAUGUACCUAGUUGUUAUUAUUUUCUGGAAAAUUAUAUGGGUUUACAGUGAGGGGUUAGUAUGUUCAUAAAGACAACUGUGUUUUCAAAAACUUUGUUUUUGCCUACUCACAUUUUUUGUUUUGCACCCUUUCAGGUUCUAGGUAGUUGGUCAUCCUUGGUGGCUCACGAGGACUUUCACGGCGGUUCUGACAUCUCUGUAAAUAAGUAGGGAUUUUUUUCCCUGUUUGUAUAAUUAGUACUUAGUUGGUUCGAUUGCACUUUCGUUUACCCAUGCUCUGAUAUUUGUAUAACUUGCUUGGUCAUCUUUACUCACUUAUAUUAUCUUAGUUUAGAUAAGUUUGGUUUUAGGUUUUUAUUUAUUCGCAUUUCUUUUAUUAUUACUUCUGUUGCGCAUUUUGGCUACGUUACUCUUACGUGACGGGCAUCAUGUUUCGACUUCGGUUGGGGUGUGUCAUAAAAGCCUCUUCAAGUCUUCAUGAUUUGGCUUGCAGAGAUAUGUGGCUCCAUAUGUGGCCUGAAUUGCCCCACAGAAGCGCUCCAGGUUUUUAAUAGCAGUAGUCUCCGCAAGUCGGCAAUACUCAUCAGUUGAGUUUGCAGAGCACUCAUUAGCUAGCAUCCGAAAUGCAGAUGUGAGCUUCUGAUGAGGUGAUAGACUUUGUCGGCCUACGACAUUUAUCUUCCUUGCAAAGUAGUGGUCAUGAUUGACAACUGUGUUCAAGAUGCUUUCAAAAAUCUCUCUCCUCAUUCGAAACCGUCUCCGAAAAUCAUGAGCAGGAAAUCUCGGACGCUCAAUAAAAUAAUAUUUCAUCAUUCGGUCAUGACACUCUUCUCUAUCACGUUGCACAAAUGAACGCUUCGUGACAUAACCACAAUAGCUAGAUUCGACAUGGUGCUCAUAUUGCAUAAGCGAGUUUGGAAGUUUAGCUUAUGCGUUGAUCAUUUUUGAAUCCUCAAUGUCAAGGCUUGCUUGGUAUUAUGUCAUUUGCAUUGCCCUGCUACACCUUCUUCUAUCAUCCAUUGUUGAUAUAUUGAGGAUUUUUAUGAAACAAAAACACUUUGAAAGUUGAAAGAUUAGUGAAUAUAGGGAAUGAUUGAAGGUUGAAAGAUUGUGUGACCAACUGAUAUUGAACAUGUGUUUAUAUAGAGGAUGAUUGAUGAAAGUUGAAAGUUUGGUGAAAGUUGAACGGUUGGUGAAAGUUGAAGAUUUGUGAAAGUUAAAGACUUGCUUUGUGGAAAGAUUUAGUGAUUUUUUCAAUAUUUAUUGGAAUUUAAAUAUUUUUAUAUUAAAAUGUUCAUAAAAUUAAUUUACCAUAGGCUACAUAAUUUUUUUUAAAAGUUAAUUUAAGAAAAAAAAUUAGCCUAAGUUCAUUCUUUAAUAAUCCCGAACUAAAAUUUUAGGCUAGGGUUGGAGCAGAAAAACUGUUUCUGUGUUAAAAGCUAAAUUUUUUAGAUUAAAAAUUUUAAAUUUUAACCCAAAGGUUGGAGAUGAUUUAAGAAUGGAUAAACUUAACCAAGAAAAGAAGAAAAAAGAUGAAGGGCAAAUAAGUGAGAAGCAACAUGACACGACACACGGACGACCAUAGCAAUAAAGCGUGCGUCCUCACGUCCAUUGAAUAUAUAGAUGGGAGCUACAACAUCGUGUUUCACGUGCAUGUGUAUUAUACAUAAAGGCAUAUACAGUGUUAGCUUAUAUAUUAUAAAGUUUGUAGGCCACUUACCCAAUUUGGCAUAUGUUUUAUCUUUUUACGUGAAUAACCAAUGUGUUAUGAUGAUACAAGUCUCUUAACAUAUCCGGAGUUAGAAAUAUCAUAAGACAGUGUUGCGAUCAUAUUGAAAUUAAUUGACAGUUUGUAUUAUAUAUUUGAUUAUUCUUUAUUAACUUAAGGAGACAGCAUACUUAGACCUAAUUUAGUCACAUUCUCCAACCGAAAAUAAAGCGGUGUAGUAUUCAUACACUUUUUUUUAUUUCUUACACAGUCUUAAUUAAUUUCUAUUGUUUGAUCUUCUUCAAUUCAUUCGAUCUGACGACCGAAAAUUAAGAUGGUGUGUGGACGAGUAAAUUAUAACAAUGGUCCCUCAACUUUAAUCAAAUUGGAGCAAGGGUGCUCAACUAAAAAUCCAUUACCAUUGGUUCCUCAACUCAUCAAAAUGUGUAGCUAUGGUCAUUUUCGUCAACUUCGUUACAAUUUUGUCAAAAUAAGUUAUAUUGGAAUGACUAUUGCUACAAUUGGGGUCCCUCAACUCAUCAAAACGUGUAGCUAUGGUCAUUUUCAUCAAUUUCGUUAGAAUUUUAUCAAAAUGAGUUUUGUUGGAAUGACCAUUGCUACAAUUGAAUUAAAGUUGAGGGACUAUUAUUUCAAUUGAGUUAAAGUUGAAAGAUCAUUUCUUCAGUUGUAUUAAAGUUGAAGGAUCAAUGGUAAUGAAUUUUUAGUUGAGGGGACUAUAGCUGCACGUUUUAAUGAGUUGAGAGAACAAUAAUAAUGAAUUUUUAGUUGAAAAACUAUUACUUCAAUUGAGUUAAAAUUAAGAAACAAUUGCUACAAUUUUUUUAUAUGGAAAGUGGAUGAUGUGAAUAGCACAUCCAAAAAUAAAAGGGAACUUUAACGAAAAGCACCCGGUACUGUUCACUUUAACGAAAAACCACAUUUUUACACUAAAAAGUCAAUCCUGGUACUAUUCACUUUACCCUUUAUUUUGUCCUUAUCAUUAAAACUCAAAGUUUUCAAGCCCUUUUCAUUAGUUUUCCUAAAAUAAAAUGCACCACAAUUUGGUAGGAUCUUCCUGUUGAGAGUAAUAAAUUAAUAAUUGCCGAAAUAUUGGAUAAUUUGUCGGCCACAACGCUAUGAGGGAGUAUCUGGGGAUGAAUAUACUCUUGCCGACAGAUGCCCAAAUUCCAACUGCCAUUCAAAUGAGCCCUCCACCACCACCGGCCAUAAUAAAUUCUCUUUCUUUAGUGAAGAAGAAAAAGAGGUACUUGGCCCUCACCUCAACUUUUUGAGAAAGAACAAGUUUAUCGCUAUCAGAAUGUUUCGGUCAAUUAUAUAAGUUAUGUGUAAAUUUUUCUUUAGAUAACAUUACAUUAUUAUAUUUAAAAUGUUCCGUAACGAUAAAUUUGUUUCAUACAAAUUAUUCUCCAACUUCUUGGAUUUUUCUCCUUUUUCCCGAAAACCAGCUUAUAUUAGUGUUCAUCCUCUGUCAAUAUCACUCGCCCACAACUAUUCAACUAACUUUUAAUAAUUUGACAACGUGUCAUAUUUUUGUGCAAAGCGGGCCCAUUUUUGUGGGUGAUAUAAUAAUGGCGUAUGUGGUUUGUCAAGACAUAUACUCAUUUAUCCAUUAGCAGUUAGGUAAGUCACCUCACUCACCCACAGCCUAACACAUCAACAAAUAUUGCUUACAAAUUCUAGAAAAUUCGACCAAGAAAAAAAACCAAAUGCUCGCAAAUUAAAAUUGUGUAACAUGAUUAGUUUUUUAUCCAUUAGUAUUAAUUUUACGUUGGAAGAAAUUCCAAAUUUAUUCUUGUAAAGAGGGAUAUGAAAAUACUUUGUAUGUCUAUCACCAAAAUCUUCGAAUGUUUGAAUGGUUGAUUUUCAAGUCUCACACAAUUGGAUUUAGUUCAAGUGAGAAAGAAAUACACUCAAACUAUUAGAUAUGAGGAAUGAAAAUACACUACAAAAUCUUGUGAACAUUUCUAAUAUUCUCUUCUAUCUACUUUUUGUGAACCAAGUUUUUAUUUGUUUUUUUUUUUAACAAAAGAUAUUUUUUAUACUAGGGAAAUAAGGUGGGUUUAGCCUCAUAAUGGGCUAACAUAAUCUAGUUCAAACUUGCAUUUGGUGAGAAUCGAACCUAAAAUCUCUCACUUACAAGUGAAGAGGAAUACCAUUAGAAGUGUCAUGAAAUUAGCAGUCUUAUAUGUAAAAAAUUGAUUGACUAAAUGCUGUGUUAAAAAACAAGAUUAAUACUUGCAUCUCCCCACUUGGAAAAUGCAAAUAUUUCAUUUCUUGCAAAUAACGUAUAUCAUGCGUUCUGUUCAAUCGCAUAUUCAAAAAUGUUAAAAACAAGAUUAAUAUUUCUAUCUCCCCACUUGGAAAAUGCAGUAUUUCAUUUUUUACGAAUAACGUAUAUCCUGUGUUCCGUCCAAUCGCGUAUUAAAAAAAUGUGUGAAGUUUGGAUUAACUACACUCUUUGAGAAUUUCCUUAAAUAACCACUUUUUGAAAAUUUCUUAUAGGACUAAGUGAGUCUCCGCUGAGAAUUUCCUUAACUAACACAACACUACUUGAGUGAUAAUUUGUUAUAUCUUGAAUAGAGAAUAAAUCAGUUCCCUACUUUUGAAGGUACUAUUAACUUACACUAUAUUUGAAUGAGAACAAUAAACUUAGAAUUUAGAUGAAGGAAAUAAAACAGUUUCCUACUUUUGAAGGUACUACUCGAGUGAUAAUUUGUUAUAUCUUGAUAACGUGUCAUAUUUUUUUGCUAAGCGGACCCAUUUUUGUGGGGUGGUAUAAUAAUGGCGUUUGUUGUUUGUCAAGGGCAUAUACCCAUUUAUCCAUUAGCAGUUAGGUCACCUCACUCACCCACAACCUAGUACAUCAACAAAUAUUGCUUACAAAUUCUAGAAAAUUCAACCAAGAGAAAGAAAACCAAAUGCUCGCAAAUUAAUCUGUGUAACAUUAGUUUUUAUCCAUUAGUAUUUAUUUUACAUUGGAAGAAAUUCCAAAUUUAAUCUCGUAAAGAGGGAUAUGAAAAUACUUUGUAUAUCUAUUAUCAAAAUCUUUGAAUGUUUGAAUGAUUGAUCAUCAAGUCUCACACGAUUGAAUUUAGUUCAAGUGAGGAAGAAAUACACACAAACUAUUAUAUAUGAGGAUUGAAAAAUACACUACAAAAUCUUGUGAUAACAUUUCUAAUAUUCCUUUCUAUCUACAUUUUGUGAUAAGUUUUUUUUUUCCUUUUUUGAACAAACUAUAUUUAUCUACAUUAAGGGAGAGGAGGUGAUCUUAGCCUCACAAUGGGCUAGCAUAAUGUGGUUCAAAUUCGCCUUUGGCGAUAAUCGAACCUAAAACUUAUCAUUUACAAGUAAAUAGGAAUACCACUAGAUGGAUCAUGAAAUUAGCAGUCUUAUAGGUAAAAAAAAAUUGAUCGACUAAAUGAUGUGUUAAAAAACAAGAUUAAUACUUGCAUCUCUCCACUUGAAAAAUGUAGAUAUUUCUGUGAACACGGAAAAUUCCUGAAACGAAAGAGACAAGAACAACGUGCACAAAAUAAUAUUUUGGUGUUAAUGGAUUUGUUGGGUUACGAUCUCUUUUAACUUGAUCCUCUGAUUCGAUCUCCGUAAGGUGUUGAUUUAUGGAUGUUUCGUUGAUCCAAGGGCUGUUGAGGCUUGAUCUUAGAUGAACUGUUGGAAGUUUCUUCAAGGGGCCGUGGGCUUGAUCUUUGAAGGUGGAUUUGAGCGGAUCUUCAAGGAGCCGUUGGGGCUUGAUCUUGAGGAUGAGUGUUUCUUCAAGGGCCGUUAAGGCUUGAUCUUGAAUAACGGUGAUGAACGGAUCUUCAAGGGCUUUUGGGCUUGAUCUUGAAGAACGGUUGGAUGUGUGGAUUUGUUGAUGUUGUUGAUCCAAGGGCCGUCGGAGCUUGAUCUUGGAAGAACGAUGAACGAAGAACGAAGAACACUUUCUUCAAAGGCCGUCGGGGCUUGAUCUUGAAUUGGUGAUUGUUGAUCCAAGGGCCGUCGGGGCUUGAUCUUGGAAGAACGAUGAACGAAGAACGAAGAACACUUUCUUCAAGGGCUGUCGGGGCUUGAUCUUGAAUUGGUGAUUGUUAAUCCAAGGGCCGUCGGGGCUUGAUCUUGAUUCUUCGGGAUGAACGGAUGAUGAACAAUGAACACUUUCUUCAAGGGCCGUCGGGGCUUGAUCUUGAAUUGGUGGAAGUUCUUCAAGGGCCUUUGGGGCUUGAUCUUGAAGGUGGAUGAUUGUUGAUCCAAGGGCCGUCGGGGCUUGAUCUUGGGAUGAACAGUUGUGUGGAUUUGUUGAACACUUUCUUCAAGGGCCGUCGAUGCUUGAUCUUGAAUUGGUGGAAGUUCUUCAAGGGCCGUUGGGGCUUGAUCUUGAAGGAGGAUUUGACGAAGAACGAAGAGGGCUUUCUUGAUCCUUCGGGAUUUGCUUGAAUUUGGGAGGUUGGAUGCUUGAAAGCUUUAGAGUUUCAAAGCUUCAAGGAUUUUGGAUGUGUGGGGAGUAUUCUCUUCCAUUUUGGGAGUAGAGAAAUGUAUUUGUGAAUUGGUUUUUGAUACCUUGAUGUAGAAGCCUAUUUAUAGGCUUUGAGAAUGAAUCACCACCACAAAAUAUUUUUUUUCUUUUCCAAGCACCAUUGCCUAAUUUCCCACUUAAUACAAUUUUAAACUUGAAGUGGUAAUUUUAUGGCCUAAUUUUCCACUUAAUAUCAUUUUAAACUUGAUAUGUGCAUGCUUUGUCAUUGCCCAAAAUGAGAAGAAAACCUUGUUUUGAUCUUCAAUGAAUUGAAAUGUGCUUGCCUUGUCAUUGCCCAAAAUGAGAAGAAAAACUUGUGUAAUCCUUCAAGGGUAUUUCUUUUUAUUUUGUUGAGUCGCACACCAUGUGUACAAUUUGUAUGACACGUGGCAUAUGCCAUGUACGCCUUGACACGUCAAAAUUUUAAUGCGUUGGUGAACAUUUAUUUCACCGCAAUUUCGGUGUCUACAAAUGCCCCCACUUCAAGGUGCGUCGUAUACAUGUGCUUGUCACGUGUAGGAGAUGCGUUUUGAAGUCCCUUACUGUAGAUGUCAAUCCAAUGGCCAUCGAGGCUUGAUCUUGAAUUGGGCUGGAGAUUUCUUCAAGGGCCGUUGAGGCUUGUUCUUGGACUUUGUUUGAAAUUUCUUCAAGGGCCAUCGAGGCUUGAUCUUGAAGGUUGAAAUUGGACCACAAGGAGCUUCAUGUGGUAGAUGAUCUUUGGCUUUGGUAGUGGAUGAAUCGGCACGUAUUUGUUUUUGCGCUUUGUUGACUUUCCACAGCUUUGAUCUUGAACUGGGUUGGAGGAUUUUUUGGAUUCCUCCAAUUGUUGAUUUUCCACAGUUUAUUCUUGAACUGGAUUUGAUUCAAAUAUGGUGGACGCUUGAUCUUGAAUCGGACUUGUGAUUUCCUCAAGGGCCGUCGAGGCUUGAUCUUGAAUUUGGCCGGAAACUUCUUCAAGGGCCGUUGAGGCUUGAUUCUUGAAGGUUGACUCGAACACAUGGCAAGCAGGCACGAGGUGAAGGUGACGACUUGUUGCUUUGUUCAAUCUUUCUAAUUCACACCUGAGCAGUUUGGUCAACGGUAUGAUCUUCAAGAUUGAUGGGCUCUUCUUCCAGUUGGUGAUUUGAUCUUUAAGGAUUUGAUUCAAGGGUGGUGAAACGGCACAUGCAGCCCACAACGCCUAGCAAGUCGACCCAAGAAUUUGAGGGUUAAAACGAGUCCUCCACCCAGAGUGAUUGCAAACCUGAUGAUAUGAGAUACUUUUGAUUUUGAAGAAGUAGCGGAUGAAUCGGCACGUGCUUUGUUGUGCUUGUCUCCACAUGCUUCAAUGUAUCAUUUUCCCUUGUCUUAUCUAUUCUUCUAGCAGAAUGUAGCAUCUUCUUAAGUUCUUCAACUCAGACUCCUUCUGCUGAGCUGACUGUGCAGGCUGCAUUAUUCUCUGCUUGUUUCUUUAGGCAGAUGUGGCAGCUUCUUGAGUUCCUCAGCUCGGACUCCUUCUGCUGAGCUGAUUGUGAAGACUGCAUUCUUAUCUGCUUGUUUCUUCUGUACGUUGUCUCCACAUGCUGCAAGGUAUCAUUUUCAAUUGCCUUAUUUGUUUUCCAGGCAAAUGUGGCAUCCGAGUUUGAGUGGAGGUUCUGGCAUAUUGUUUUCUUUAUCCUUGUCUUUGUAGGUAAGAACAAGGACAAAGGAAAGGACAGGGAGAACGCAUGAUAUGAUAUACUCUUGCUUUCUACCCUGGUGAUAUGAGAUACUUUUGCUUUGGUGUCAUUUGUUUGCAGAGGUACCCCAAGGAAUAAGAAACACUGAGUGACUCGAGAGGCUUUGUUGGGAAGGCAUUCUAGGAGAUGAAGAAAGGUUCUUGGAGAUGAAGAAAGGUUCUCGGAGAUGAAGAAAGGUUAUGUAUGUCUGCCUUGCUAUGGAGGGUAAAGGUGGACAGUUAUAGGAAAUUCUUUAGUACCUGUAGAGGUACUAUUCUUUUACUCGUGUCGGCAACCAAUGUGUGAUUGAUCAGUAUGGCUUCACGUGUUUUCUUCUUUAUCAGAAAUCUUCGACAAAUUGUCCGUAAUUUUCGUCAAGCUGAGUGUGCAUGUGACAGGUGUUGACGAGGCUGAAAAAGACUGGUGCCUCUUCGAUAUCUGGGAUCGGCGCUUCGACAAAUUGCCCGUGAUUUCCGCAAAGCUGAGUUUGCGCGUGACGGGUGCUGACGAGGCUGAAAAAGACUGGCGCCUCUUCGAUAUCUGGGAUUGGCGCUUUAACAAAUUGCCCAUGAUUUCUGCAAAGCUGAGUUUGCACGUGACGGGUGCUAACGCGUCUGGAAAAGCAAGAUGCUUCUCCGAUUUCUGAGCUUGCCUCUUUGAUUUUUGAAUUGGCCUCUUCGAAUUCUGAGCUCGCCUCUUCGAUCUUUGAAAUCCCAUCGAGUGUUGAUCUUUAUAGAGGCACGCAGUUCGUUUCAAAGCACACUUGAAUUUUCGCUUGUAGAAACUCCCUUCUUGCACUUCUAAGAUCUUGAUUUGUCCGACCUCUUCUUUCUUCAACACCUUUGAAAAUGUCUGGACCCUCCGACCGUCAUUUUGAUUUGAACCUUGGUGAAGAGGUAGUCCCGUCUUCUCCAGAUAACAUAUGACGCCCAUCUUUCAUAUCCCCUACUGGUCCUCUUACCGUUGGGGAUUCGGUGGUGAAGAAUGAUAUGACCGCUGCGGUGGUGGCCCGAAACCUUGUCACUCCCAGAGAUAACAGACUACUUUCCAAACGGUCUGAUGAGUUGGCUGUUAAGGAUUCUCUGGCUCUCAGUGUGCAGUGUGCAGGUUCUGUGUCUAAUAUGGCCCAACGCCUAUUUGCUCGAACCCGUCAAGUUGAAUCAUUGGCGGCUGAAGUGAUGAGUCUCAAACAGGAGAUAUUAGAGGGCUCAAGCAGAGAGAUAAACAGUUGCAUAAGCUCGCACAUAGCUAUGCGACAAACAUGAAGAGGAAGAUUAACCAGAUGCAGGAAUCUGAUGGUCAGAUUUUACUUGAUCAUCAGAGGUUUGUGGGUUUGUUCCAGCAGCAUUUGCCUUCGUCUUCUGGGGCUGUACCGCGUAAUGAAGCUCCAAAUGAUCAACCCUUGGCUCCUCUUCUUCCUGGAGUUCCGCCGAGUGGUGUGGCUUCAAACAGUCAACCUCCGACGCCUCUCAUUUCUGGAGCUCUGCUGAGUGGUGAGGUGGCACCUAAUCGUCCUUGAAGAUCCCCUCUUGUAAAUUUGAUUUGAUUUUUUUUUAAGUAUGUAUAAUGCAAAUUUAUGUAAAAUUUCCAGAAAAAAUAAAUAAAAACGGACUUUAUUUCUCUCAAUGCAUUUGUUUUGUUUUGUUUUUGUUUUUUUUGUUUUUUUGUUUUUGUUUUUUUUGUAAAUACAUAAUAACAUAUGUAUUUAUUUAUUUAUUCUUUUGUAAUAAAAUUGACUUUCUUUAAUAAAACUUUUAUAUUUUUCUUAUUUAUUUUGAUAUGACUGAACUCGAAAUUGAAUGUUCGAGCCGCCUACGUACCCUUCCAAAGAAGAGAUCAAGCCAUAACGUAGUUCAAAUGAGUGAUGAAUUUAAUAGUGAUUUUGAUGAUGAUUUUGCCGUACACAGUUUAUGCUCUUGUGGGCCAGGAGCUUUGGUGUUGCCUUUUAUGCUCGUGCAGACCAGGAGCGUUGAUGUCGCCUUUUAUGCUCGUGUGGGUCAGGAGCGUUGAUGUUGCCUUUUAUGCUCGUGCAGACCAGGAGCUUUGUGCCAUGCAGUUUAGACUCGUGCGGGCAAGGAGCUUUGGUUCGUGCAGUUUAGGCUCAUGCGAACAAGGAGCAUUGGUUCGUGCAGUUUAGGCUCGUGCGAACAAGGAGCAUUGGUGUUGCCUUUUAUGCUCGUGCAGACCAGGAGCUUUGUGCUAUGCAGUUUAGACUCGUGCGGGUGAGGAGAAUUUGUGAAUUUUGUCAAGCACUUUUGGAGAGGCGUUCCUUACAAUCUUCAUAGCAAGGAGCCUUGACCGAGUGAUUGAAGAAGUCUUCGGGAAAGAAGUCGCACAUCGUGAUGGCAACAGACGAUCUUUGUGUCGUAAUUUCAUCAUCUUCAACACGUUCACGUUGCUUUGAAGGUUGACAAGAGCUGCUUUGCCCCCUUUCCGAUUGGCGGACUUGUGGAGGAGACGUAUGCUUCUUGUGCCAUUUCUUAGGAGUGACUUGAGUCCAUCCUUCAAGUUUGCUUGUUUUGGAGGAUGCCCCCGGCGGUUGAGGUGAAAAUUUUGUGUUGAAAGAGCCAGAAGUGAUGGUGGUAUAGUUUGACUUCACCACAUCGUCAAGAUCUAGCUCGAUGAUUCCUUUCUGAGCCCACUUUAUGAUGAGAUCUUUCAGCACAAAGCACUUUUCUGUCGGAUGACUGAUGAAGCGGUGGAAUUUACAGUAUCUUGGACUGUUGGUACGAUUCAUCUCUUCCGGCCAUCUGCACUCAGGCAAACUGAUCACCUUCUUGUCCAACAGGUCAUCCAACAUGGCAACCACAUCAGAGUCAGGGAAUGGAUAAGUCUUCUCUUUAAGCUCCUUCAAAGUGCGUCUACGCAUCUCUUGAUCACGAAAAGCUUCGGUUUGAAUCGUUUUGCCUCGUGUGGAGAUUUUGACGGGAGAUGUGUUGACUGUCAUUGCUUCCUUGGUGGAUUUCCACGUAGCCUUCUCCACCUUUGUCUCAAGAAUUUUGUCGUUCUUGUAGUCGGCGAUCGGUUCCUUCUUCCCAUGAUGGGUGAUGCUCAACUCCAUGUCAUGGGCGUGGGUGGCCAAUUCCUCGAAGGUCCGUGGUUUAAUGCCUUGAAGGAUGUAUUGCAAACCUCAUUGCAUGCCUUGGAUGCACAUCUCGAUUGAAGAGGUCUCCGAGAGCCUAUCUUUGCAGUCGAGGCUUAGAGUGCGCCAUCUGUUGAUGUAGUCAAUGACCGGCUCAUCUUUCCAUUGCUUCAUACUUGUGAGCUCCAACAUGCUUACAGUGCGGCGGGUGUUGUAGAAGCGGUUGAGGAAUUCCCGCUCCAAUUGCUCCCAGCUGUUGAUGGACUCAGGCUCUAGGUCCGUGUACCACUCAAAUGCGUUUCUUUUCAGCGAGCGCAUAAACUGCUUGGCGAAGUAGUCCCCCUCCGUCCCCGCGUUGUUGCAAGUUUUGACGAAAUGUGCAACGUGCUGCUUUGGGUUUCCUUUUCCAUCAAACUGCAUGAACUUUGGUGGUUGAUAUCCCAUCGGCAUCUUUAGGGCAUCAAUCUUCUUUGAAUAAGGCUUUGAGUACAACCCGGAGGUAUUUGAGCUCCCUUCGUACUAUGCCUUGACGGUGCUGGCAAUCAUCUCUUGCAACUGUUGGAUAGAAAGAGAUCCCAUGAGUGCCGCUUCUUGGUCUGGCUCCGGCUUCACAUCGAUUUUCUCCACCGUAGGCUCAUCUUCUGGGUUAGGGUUCUCGCUGUCCUGUGGCUCCAGUUGACUGAUGAGUGCAGCGAUUUGCAAGUCUUUUUCUUCCACAGUUCGGGUUAGCCUUGCGAUUGCUUCAUUCAUUUGAGCCAGUUGUUCUUCGAUGGAGGUAACGCCGAUGGUCAUGACUUGUGCAACCAAUAGACGUGACUUUCCUUUAGACAUCCAAGAUGCUGAAGAAGAACGUCAUUGGUUGUUUUGGGAUGUCAUCUUGUGUGCCUCAGCAACAUGCUUUGGUGCCCCCAGCGAGGUCAGGUUGAUGACAGACUCACACCUUUGAUGCUCCCUUUGCUCUUUUAGCGGCACCAACUUUGAAGUGGCAUGUUAAGGAGCGGUUGUGGUGCUAAUGGAUUGUCCAUUUGCGGCAGAAGUGCUUAGGAUCCUUCCCUCAGUGAUUGCGAGAACGGCUUGUCCCUUGCUUGAUGCCAUUGAUUUUGAGGUGUGUUUGGAUUCCUUAAACGGAGAAAGAUAUGAGAGGUAGAGAUUGUCCCACCGGGCGUGCCAAUUUGUGAACACGAAAAUUUCCUGAAACGAAAGAGACAAGAACAACGUGCACAAAAUAAUAUUUUGGUGUUAAUGGAUUUGUUGGGUUACGAUCUCUUUUAACUUGAUCCUCUGAUUCGAUCUCCGUAAGGUGUUGAUUUAUGGAUGUUUCGUUGAUCUAAGGGCCGUCGAGGCUUGAUCUUGGAUGAACUGUUGGAAGUUUCUUCAAGGGGCCGUGGGCUUGAUCUUUGAAGGUGGAUUUGAGCGGAUCUUCAAGGAGCCGUUGGGGCUUGAUCUUGAGGAUGAGUGUUUCUUCAAGGGCCGUUAAGGCUUGAUCUUGAAUAACGGUGAUGAACGGAUCUUCAAGGGCUUUUGGGCUUGAUCUUGAAGAACGGUUGGAUGUGUGGAUUUGUUGAUGUUGUUGAUCCAAGGGCCGUCGGGGCUUGAUCUUGGAAGAACGAUGAACGAAGAACGAAGAACACUUUCUUCAAAGGCCGUCGGGGCUUGAUCUUGAAUUGGUGAUUGUUGAUCCAAGGGCCGUCGGGGCUUGAUCUUGGAAGAACGGUGAACGAAGAAUGAAGAACGAAGAACACUUUCUUCAAGGGCCGUCGGGGCUUGAUCUUGAAUUGGUGAUUGUUAAUCAAAGGGCCGUCGGGGCUUGAUCUUGGAAGAACGAUGAACGAAGAACGAAGAAGGCUUUCUUGAUUCUUCGGGAUGAACGGAUGAUGAACAAUGAACACUUUCUUCAAGGGCCAUCGGGGCUUGAUCUUGAAUUGGUGGAAGUUCUUCAGGGCCUUUGGGGCUUGAUCUUGAAGGUGGAUGAUUGUUGAUCCAAGGGCCGUCGGGGCUUGAUCUUGGGAUGAACAGUUGUGUGGAUUUGUUGAACACUUUCUUCAAGGGCCGUCGAUGCUUGAUCUUGAAUUGGUGGAAGUUCGUCAAGGGCCGUUGGGGCUUGAUCUUGAAGAAGGAUUUGACGAAGAACGAAGAGAGCUUUCUUGAUCCUUCGGAAUUUGCUUGAAUUUGGGAGGUUGGAUGCUUGAAAGCUUUAGAGUUUCAAAGCUUCAAGGAUUUUGGAUGUGUGGGGAGUAUUCUCUUACAUUUUGGGAGUAGAGAAAUGUAUUUGUGAAUUGGUUUUUGAUACCUUGAUGUAGAAGCCUAUUUAUAGGCUUUGAGAAUGAAUCACCACCACAAAAUAUUUUUUUCUUUUCCAAGCACCAUUGCCUAAUUUCCCACUUAAUACAAUUUUAAACUUGAAGUGGUAAUUUUAUGGCCUAAUUUUCCACUUAAUAUCAUUUUAAACUUGAUAUGUGCAUGCUUUGUCAUUGCCCAAAAUGAGAAGAAAACCUUGUUUUGAUCUUCAAUGGAUUGAAAUGUGCUUUGCCUUGUCAUUGCCCAAAAUGAGAAGAAAAACUUGUGUAAUCCUCCAAGGGUAUUUCUUUUUAUUUUGUUGAGUCACACACCAUGUGUACAAUUUGUAUGACACGUGGCAUAUGCCAUAUAUGCCUUGACACGUCAAAAUUUUAAUGCGUUGGUGAACAUUUAUUUCACCGCAAUUUCGAUGUCUACAAUUUCAUUUCUUGUGAAUAAUGUUUAUCCUGUGUUCUGUCCAAUCGCGUAUUAAAAAAUGUGUGAAGUUUGGAUUAACCACACUCUUUUAGAAUUUCCUUUAUUUACCACUUUUUGAGAAUUUCCAAUAAGACUGGGUGAGUCUCCGCUGAGAAUUUCCUCAACUAACACCACACUACUUGAGGGAUAAUUUGUUAUAUCUUUGAAUAAAGAAUAAAACAGUUUCCUACUUUUGAAGGUACUAUUAACUUACACUAUAUUUGGAUGAAGGUCAAACUUUAUAAAUUGACAUACACCAAAUUCUUUGUUUGGAUUCAUAAACAUAUAAAUUUAGAAUUUCCGCGUGGAAAAAAAAAAUACUUAGAAUUUGAGACCUCCAAUUCUCAAAUUGAAAGUUUAAAAAUAAUAAAUUCCGUAUUCAAUUCAAUUGUUCUUUUAGGUUAACCAAAUAAGAAAAUUCACAAAUUCUAAAAUAUAAAAUCUCAUCAUUUCAAUUUCCGUCAUUUUAAAAUUCCUUAGUAAUAUUAAAUUUCUUCAUCCAAACAUAGUGUUAAGAAAUUUUUUAAAGAUACACUAUUUACACUCAUUUUUAUUUCUUACACAUUUAUUAACUUUGUCCAUUGAUUUCUUCAAUUCAUUUUGCCAGUUAUACAAAAAUUGAGAACAGUAUUUAUGAAUUAAAAAUACAUUUGUAGAUGUCACUACCAAAUUUUUAUUCCUAAUUCAAGAAAAUCUUAUCCAUAUAUGAUUGCCCUUGCCCACUUUAAAUGGGUGCCAUCACUUUACGAUAGAGCAAUCCUAACCGUCCACCUAGGUAAGCAUAACUGGCGAUGCAUGUCGCAAGGGGACCGCAUUGCACAAUAUAAUUAUACUAGUUGAUAAGACAAGUGAUGUCAAUCAAUAAAUUAUUUCAUUAAAACUUAGUUGUAUGUAUCAUAUGUUGUAAUGUAGGGUGUAUGAUAUGCUGACGCUGUAAAAAAAUGUAACCUUUUUAAUAUUACUCAUAAUAGUAAGACUUACCAGUAUUAGGAUGUUAUCAGUGGAAUGAGAAUCCUCUCCAGAUCUUUUUUGUGAGCUAUUAUUUGUAUUUAAUUUUAAAUAUAAAAAAUUAAAAUAAUUUAUGACGGCAGUGAUUCACAUGAUCUUCACAAAGAGAAUCCAAAUAAUCUUAAUUUAUAUCAGUGUGUCUAGAUAACAUGAUCGAGCCCCUUUACUUUUACCCUAUUUAGUAUUUUACAUUUGAACCUGUAAAUAUUCGAUUUUUCUUUGGUGCAACCGAGCACCAAAUAUAGAUUUUUUUUCACUUUUAUAUAAUGAUAAAUAAAGGGCAAUUGGCAGAUUUGAAUUCCAUUCGGAUUGGUCAAAAAUCAUUUUAAAUUGUUUUAUUUAAAAUUAAACACAUAUAGUACUUAAUAAAAAUUAGUCGUACAAUAUACGAUAAACAGAUAUAAUGUAAGGACCUUUAUGAUCUUCACAAAAAAGAUCCAAAGGUUGUGUAGCUGUUUCAAAAGGAUAAUACUCACUUUUGAUUAGUUCAAUGAAAUUUUAAACAUGUUUUAUUGUUUUAAAAAAUAAUAAACAUAUUUAUUAAUGUUUGUUUUACUUUAAAAAAUAAGCAGCACUUGACAACAUUUGAUUGUGCUAAAUAAAAAAUGAGUGACCACUUAGUACUACAGUCUUAUGAUAUUUUUCUUCAUUUGAAAGUGAGAGGUUUUAAGUUCGAAUCUCGUGGAUGACGAAUUUGAUAUCAAAUUAGAUUGCUCACUAUGUGGCUUAGCCGAACUCUCAUUUCCUUUAAUGUAAAAAUAUUGAUGUAUUCAAAAAAAUAAAAAGUGACUAUAGAGGACACUCAAUCUCAGCUGUAUGAUUAAAUCAGACGGUAAGAAAAAUUCUGCAAGCAUACUCGGUUACAUUAAUUGAAGAAAAAAUGGGUAAAUAUUGGGCACCAACGUUAUAAAUACCCUCCACCAUGCACCCAACUCCCUCACACCAUCACAACCCACGUUACAAAUCCUCCUCCUCAUCAUAACCAUUCUGUUUUCCGCAUAAUAUCCAAAAACCUAUCAUGUCUGAAGAGAAACACCACCGCGGUCUCUUCCACCACCACAAGGAUGAAGACAAACCCUCAGACUACCCUCAGUCUGGCUACUCUGAUGAAGGACGUCCCGGCGGCCUCGGUGGUGGUUACGGCGACACCAAUGAUUAUUCUGGUGAAGGACGUACCGGCGGCCUAGGUGGUGGCUAUGGCGACACCAAUGCUUAUUCUGGUGAAGGACGUCCCGGCGGCUAUGGCGGCUAUAACGAGACCACUGCUUACUCUGAGGAAAGAGUUGAAAGACCCGGCGGUGGCCGGUACAGUGAGACUACUGCGGCAUAUGGCAGCACCACCACUCAUGAAUCUGAACUUGAUUACAAGAAGGAGGAGAAGCACCACAAGCAU
rnacentral:lncRNA from 1 species